ACUUAGCCCUGAUUGAAAUGGCAUCCUUUUUAUGGCCCAUAUAUAAAGAAACAGUUUCUUAUUUAAAUGAAAUUGCCAUAGUUUACAAGUAAAUAAACUAUGGCAAUGACAAUAAUAAAAAGAUAUAAUGAAAAGCAGGAAUAGCU
rnacentral:sRNA from 1 species